rnacentral:rRNA from 1 species
UACGAAGGUCCCAAGCGUUGUUCGGAAUCACUGGGCGUAAAGGGAGCGUAGGCGGCGUGGUAAGUCAGAUGUGAAAUCCCGGGGCUCAACCCCGGAACUGCAUCCGAUACUGCCAUGCUAGAGGAUUGGAGAGGUAGCUGGAAUUCUUGGUGUAGCAGUGAAAUGCGUAGAGAUCAAGAGGAACACUCGUGGCGAAAGCGAGCUACUGGACAAUUCCUGGCGCUGAGGCUCGAAGGCUAGGGUAGCGAAAGGG